rnacentral:rRNA from 1 species
UACGUAGGGGGCAAGCGUUGUCCGGAAUCAUUGGGCGUAAAGAGCGCGUAGGCGGCCCAGUAAGUCCGCUCUGAAAGUCAGAGGCUCAACCUCUGAAUGCGGGUGGAUACUGCUGGGCUAGAGUCCGGAAGAGGCGAGUGGAAUUCCUGGUGUAGCGGUGAAAUGCGCAGAUAUCAGGAGGAACACCAAUGGCGAAGGCAGCACUCUGGGACGUGACUGACGCUGAGACGCGAAAGCGUGGGGAGCAAACAGG